AGAGUUUGAUUAUGGCUCAGGAUGAACGCUGGCGGCGUGCUUAACACAUGCAAGUCGAACGAAGCAACUAUCUUGCUUGCAAGAGAGUUGACUUAGUGGCGGACGGGUGAGUAACGCGUGGGUAACCUGCCUCAUACAGGGGGAUAACAGUUGGAAACGACUGCUAAGACCGCAUAACCCGCUAGUGUCGCAUGACACGGACGGAAAAUAUUUAUAGGUAUGAGAUGGGCCCGCGUCUGAUUAGCUAGUUGGUAAGGUAACGGCUUACCAAGGCGACGAUCAGUAGCCGACUUGAGAGAGUGAUCGGCCACAUUGGGACUGAGACACGGCCCAAACUCCUACGGGAGGCAGCAGUGGGGAAUAUUGGACAAUGGGGGAAACCCUGAUCCAGCGACGCCCGCGUGAGUGAAGAAGUAUUUCGGUAUGUAAAGCUCUAUCAGCAGGGAAGAUAAUGACAGUACCUGACUAAGAAGCCCCGGCUAACUACGUGCCAGCAGCUGC
rnacentral:rRNA from 1 species